UACGUAGGGUGCGAGCGUUGUCCGGAAUUACUGGGCGUAAAGAGCUCGUAGGUGGUUUGUCGCGUUGUUCGUGAAAACUCACAGCUCAACUGUGGGCGUGCGGGCGAUACGGGCAGACUGGAGUACUGCAGGGGAGACUGGAAUUCCUGGUGUAGCGGUGGAAUGCGCAGAUAUCAGGAGGAACACCGGUGGCGAAGGCGGCAUCCUGGACCGACAUUGACGCUGAGGAGCGAAAGCUAGGGGAGCAAACGGG
rnacentral:rRNA from 1 species